rnacentral:rRNA from 1 species
UACGAAGGGUGCAAGCGUUACUCGGAAUUACUGGGCGUAAAGCGUGCGUAGGUGGUUUGUUAAGUCUGUCGUGAAAUCCCCGGGCUCAACCUGGGAAUGGCGAUGGAUACUGGCAAGCUAGAGUGAGGUAGAGGAGAGUGGAAUUCCCGGUGUAGCAGUGAAAUGCGUAGAGAUCGGGAGGAACAUCAGUUGCGAAGGCGGCUCUCUGGACCAUCACUGACACUGAGGCACGAAAGCGUGGGGAGCAAACAGGAUUAGAUACCCUGGUAGUCCACGCCCUAAACGAUGCGAACUGGACGUUGGGCUCAAUUAGGAGCUCAGUGUCGAAGCUAACGCGUUAAGUUCGCCGCCUGGGGAGUACGGUCGCAAGACUGAA